UCCCUGGAGGACUAGUGGUUAGGCCUCGGCGCUCUCACCGCACAGCCUGGGUUCGAUUCCUGGCCAGGGAA
rnacentral:tRNA from 1 species